UAAUUGGGAGUGAUAACUUCAAGGGACGA
rnacentral:piRNA from 1 species